GCUUCUAGAGAAAUCUAAGUCUCUUUUUCACUUUUUGUAAAGUAAAAUCUUUUAGUCUUUUUGUUUGUUCUCUUGCCGCAACUGCUUGUGCUCUUUACUCAGCAGCAAUGAGCAAUAGCAGAGCAAAAUCAUCUUCAACCAAAAAAAAAAAAAAAAAAAAAAAAAAACCUAGCAAACUAUGAAGAAGACGAAAGAGGCAAAGGAGGAGAAAACAAAAAAUGAACCUGAAAUGAAGAUCUGUGAACACAUCAAGUCUAUUGCCAACACCAAUUGAUGAAUGAGAAACGGGUGUUUUGUGAUCUUUUCUUCUGCAAGCUAAAGAUACGGUGAUUGCAUUAGCCCUUCAUGUCACUUCAGUGAGAAACGACCCUUUUUUUUUCUCUCCUCAAAUGAGAAACGGGCCUUCUAUAAUCUUUUCUUCUGCAACCUAAAGAUAUGGUGACUUCAGUUUUUGAAGGUAAAAGAGGUUGGGUCCUAAGUAGAAAGUCAUGACGUGCUGAUUAUUGUUUUUUGGAGAAGGGCAAAGGGGGAUUCUUGCCGGAUUUGCUAGACUAUUAUAAAGAAAUCUUAUUAAAUAAAUCUGCUAAUGAAAAAACUUAUAUACUUUGUAAUGAUUUGGGUUUUUAUUCUUGUGGAUGGAGCCAUAACUUAUAUACUUUGUAAUGAUUUGGCUUUUUCUUUUUCUUCUUCAGACCUAUGAAAAGGUUGAUGAAUUCAGGUUGUUUUAUUAUUAGAAUCCAGGUUUUUAUUAUUGAUUUUCUUGACAAUAUUGGAUGAUUUGGGUUGAUGAAUUCAAGUUGUUUUAUUAUUGAUUUUUUUGACAA